rnacentral:rRNA from 1 species
GAUGAACGCUGGCGGUAUGCUUAACACAUGCAAGUCGAACGGGAUGUCUUCGGACAUUUAGUGGCGGACGGGUGAGUAACGCGUAAGAAACUGCCUUCAGGACGGGGACAACAAUUGGAAACGAUUGCUAAGACCCGAUAUGCCUACGGGGGAAAGUAUUAAUUUAGCCUGAAGAUGUGCCCGCGUCUGAUUAGCUAGUUGGUGGAGUAAAGGUUCACCAAGGCGACGAUCAGUAGCUGGUCUGAGAGGAUGAUCAGCCACACUGGGACUGAGACACGGCCCAGGCUCCUACGGGAGGCAGCAGUGGGGAUUUUUCCGCAAUGGGCGCAAGCCUGACGGAGCAAUACCGCGUGAGGGAGGAAGGCUCUUGGGUCGUAAACCUCUUUUCUCUGGGAAGAAAAAACUGACGGUACCAGAGGAAUCAGCAUCGGCUAACUCCGUGCCAGCAGCCGCAGUAAAAC